AAUAGAUACCCUGGUAGUCCACGCCGUAAACGAUGGAUACUAGCUGUUUGGUAGUAAUACUGAGUGGCUAAGCGAAAGUGAUAAGUAUCCCACCUGGGGAGUACGGGCGCAAGCCUGAAACUCAAAGGAAUUGACGGGGGCCCGCACAAGCGGUGGAGCAUGUGGUUUAAUUCGAUGAUACGCGAGGAACCUUACCAGGGCUUAAAUGUAGUUUGACGUUAUUGGAAACAGUAAUUUCUUCGGACAAAUUACAAGGUGCUGCAUGGUUGUCGUCAGCUCGUGCCGUGAGGUGUCAGGUUAAGUCCUAUAACGAGCGCAACCCCUGUUGUUAGUUGCCAGCGAGUAAUGUCGGGAACUCUAGCAAGACUGCCAGUGUAAACUGCGAGGAAGGUGGGGAUGACGUCAAAUCAUCGCGGCCCUUACGUCCUGGGCCACACACGUGCUACAAUGGCCGGUACAGAGAGCAGCCACUAUGCGAAUAGGAGCGAAUCUAUAAAGCCGGUCACAGUUCGGAUCGGAGUCUGCAACUCGA
rnacentral:rRNA from 1 species